AGAGUUUGAUCAUGGCUCAGGAUGAACGCUAGCGGCAGGCUUAACACAUGCAAGUCGAGGGGUAGAAGCUUUCGGGCUUUGAGACCGGCGCACGGGUGCGUAACGCGUAUGCAAUCUGCCUUACACUAAGGGAUAGCCCAGAGAAAUUUGGAUUAAUACCUUAUAGUAUAUAGUUGGGACAUCCCUUUUAUAUUAAAGAUUUAUCGGUGUAAGAUGAGCAUGCGUCCCAUUAGCUAGUUGGUGUGGUAACGGCAUACUAAGGCAAUGAUGGGUAGGGGUCCUGAGAGGGAGAUCCCCCACACUGGUACUGAGACACGGACCAGACUCCUACGGGAGGCAGCAGUGAGGAAUAUUGGACAAUGGGCGCAAGCCUGAUCCAGCCAUGCCGCGUGCAGGAUGACGGUCCUAUGGAUUGUAAACUGCUUUUGUACGGGAAGAAACACUCCAACGUGUUGGAGCUUGACGGUACCGUAAGAAUAAGGAUCGGCUAACUCCGUGCCAGCAGCCGCGGUAAUACGGAGGAUCCAAGCGUUAUCCGGAAUCAUUGGGUUUAAAGGGUCCGUAGGCGGUUUUAUAAGUCAGUGGUGAAAUCCGGCAGCUCAACUGUCGCACUGCCCUUGAUACUGUAGAACUUGAAUUAUUGUGAAGUAACUAGAAUAUGUAGUGUAGCGGUGAAAUGCUUAGAUAUUACAUGGAAUACCCAUUGCGAAGGCAGGUUACUAACAAUAUAUUGACGCUGAUGGACGAAAGCGUGGGGAGCGAACAGGAUUAGAUACCCUGGUAGUCCACGCCGUAAACGAUGGAUACUAGCUGUUGGAAGCAAUUCUGAGUGGCUAAGCGAAAGUGAUAAGUAUCCCACCUGGGGAGUACGAACGCAAGUUUGAAACUCAAAGGAAUUGACGGGGGCCCGCACAAGCGGUGGAGCAUGUGGUUUAAUUCGAUGAUACGCGAGGAACCUUACCAGGGCUUAAAUGUAGGUUGACAGGCUUGGAAACAGGUUUUUCUUCGGACAACUUACAAGGUGCUGCAUGGUUGUCGUCAGCUCGUGCCGUGAGGUGUCAGGUUAAGUCCUAUAACGAGCGCAACCCCUGUCGUUAGUUGCCAGCGAGUCAUGUCGGGAACUCUAACGAGACUGCCGGUGCAAACCGUGAGGAAGGUGGGGAUGACGUCAAAUCAUCACGGCCCUUACGUCCUGGGCUACACACGUGCUACAAUGGCCGGUACAGAGAGCAGCCACUGGGCGACCAGGAGCGAAUCUAUAAAACCGGUCACAGUUCGGAUCGGAGUCUGCAACCCGACUCCGUGAAGCUGGAAUCGCUAGUAAUCGGAUAUCAGCCAUGAUCCGGUGAAUACGUUCCCGGGCCUUGUACACACCGCCCGUCAAGCCAUGGAAGCUGGGGGUACCUGAAGUCGGUGACCGCAAGGAGCUGCCUAGGGUAAAACUGGUAACUGGGGCUAAGUCGUAACAAGGUA
rnacentral:rRNA from 1 species